rnacentral:misc_RNA from 1 species
UCCGGUUUGUCACCGGCAGUCCCAUUAGAGUGCCCAACUGAAUGUGGCAACUAAUGGCAAGGGUUGCGCUCGUUGCGGGACUUAACCCAGCAUCUCACGACACGAGCUGACGACAGCCAUGCAGCACCUGUGUCCAGGUUCCCUUUCGGGCACCCCUCCAUCUCUGAAGGGUUCCUGGCAUGUCAAGGGUAGGUAAGGUUUUUCGCGUUGCAUCGAAUUAAUCCGCAUGCUCCACCGCUUGUGCGGGCCCCCGUCAAUUCCUUUGAGUUUCAGCCUUGCGGCCGUACUCCCCAGGCGGGGCACUUAGUGCGUUAGCUGCGACACCGAAGGGGUCGUUCCCACCGGCAUCUAGUAUUCAUCGUUUACGGCAUGGACUAC